CUGACCCACUGACCCACUAAGUUAGCUCUCUACAACCCACUUAGCACGUUCCAGAACACCCUGAAACUGUCUUAGGAAAUUAAAGGUAAUACAGGAAAUUACAAUAAGACCCAUACAAAUAAACGUAAUGACUCUAAUACCCUUAUGCAGCUGGUGUCCACAUCCGAUUCUGUUCCCCUAGGAGAACCACGUGGCAGCCCUAGAAAGGUACCUUGAGCCCUGGUAUUAAGGUACCCUUGUCCGAACCGUACACCCAGCUCCCUCAGUCCGAUGCAUAACACUCUGAAGAUGCAGACAAAAUUACCUCCUCCUGGUAUUGGCAUGCCCAUGGUUUCGCUUUAGAGGGAAGGUAUGUGCAGAAGAAGAUUCGCUUAACUAAGCAAAUAGAGAAGUUCAAACGUACAGCACACCAAGAGAUAUUUAAUACUACUGGCAUGGCGUUUGGUUCACAAGCUACAAGGGAGUACACCCGUGGGUCUUCACCAGAGUUGUUGCACAUGCAGGUUGGUGGUGGUUUCGAGAGAAGAACAUGGUCUAUGAAAUCGUCAUUCAUGCCCCCCUAAAAAGAAAAUGAAGUCCUUAAUUGGUAAUAAAAGCAUUAAGAGGCAAUGCUUACUCCUUUAGUGGUUGUCACAAAUAUAAU